UCUCUCCCCUCCCUGCUUAGCAUGUGAUUUGUAUAUUCUUAUUUUUGUUUGAUUUUGUUUUUUUCUAGAAAUGAGGUUUCACUGUGUUACCCAGUCUCAAACUCCUGAGUUCAAGUGAUCUUCCCAUCUCAGGUGCCUCCCAAAGUGCUGGGAUUAUAGAUCUCACUCUGUCACCCAGGGCGGAGUAGAGUGGCAUGAGCCUAGCUCACUAUUACAUUGAACUCCUGGACUCAAGCGAUCCUCCUGCCUCAGACUCCUGAGUAGCUGGGACUACAGGACAGAUGGAGCACAGCUUCUCUAGCUUGCAUUCCAGGGAAGUUCCUGCAAGGAGCAGAGUUCAAGGUGUACAGAUGAUCGAAAUGGGUGUAUUUCUCAGCCCCUGUUAGAUGGGCCUGAAGCCCUUUUGAAUGUAACUGAGCAUGCCCUGAUGGCACAGAGACACCAGGAGCCUGUGCAGUGGCACAGAGCUCCCAGGUUUACCAGGUUUAGGAAUCCCUUCCCUGGAAAGCCUAUAGUGGUCAGCAGGCAAGUUGGAUGGGUAACAGAGUUCAUCACUGUGACUGGAAAUGAGUCUCACCUGAAAUGCAACAGCACCUACUUUACACAGGUCUCUUGACCAUCCUCAACAUUCUUGGUGGCUGCAACCUUAGUAGGCUUUGACCAUUAAUUAAACUGACAUGAUUCACGAAUUGGAUAAAGGCUUUUGACAGUAGGAAUAAACAUCAGAUGGGUAGAUUGAUUCCCUAUCCUUAAGGAAAAUAACCACAGCUGGUUUGAGUAUGAUGUUUAAUGUAAGAUACAGUGGCUUGGCAGAGUUGGUGCAAAACUAAAGAGUACCAGAUUAAGUUCUAGUCAGUGAGUUAGCAGCCUAGGCACUUGGGCAAAAAAUUGGCCCUGCUGUCCCAAGUCCUCCAAAGCCCCCUCCAUAUCACCAGCUAGGAGCUCCAAGACUGAUAUGCCACUACUUGGAGGCUUGGGUAGAAUCCAAGUGUCCCCAGUUUCCAAAGUGACAAGAGACUGGCCCCAGCCAUCAGAGCAGUAGAAUUUUCAGGACAGGGUUGAAGAAAGUGGGGACAGAACUGGACAUGGGGGCCUGAGCUGCUGAACAUUUGCUACAUGCAGUAGUCUAAGAGGCUCACAGCUGGAGAGGUUAGCCUGUCCACCCUCCCACCCAUGUGUGGUAGGGAAGAAGGUGACCAUCUAGUUAAAGAAAAAAAAAACUUCCAAAGCUGUAUUUGGCAUAAGCUAAUACCACUGCUAGUGCUGCCAGUGGCCAGGCACAGAUACAGAAGGCCCUGAGGAGUUGGGAGGAAGGGAGAACAAUGUGCAGGCAGAGCAGGAAACAGCCAGCUCAGGUCCCCGCCCCAGGGGCCCAGAAGGAUAAAGGCUGUGCAGUAAAGGGAACAUAGGGUUCUUCUCUUUGGUCAGGCAAAGGCCCGAAUAUGGGCCUGUUAGGUGAAAGGGCUGAAGGGCACAGGCUCUGCCCUUGGACCCUAGCUUUAGGCUCAUCACAUUGAAGCAGUGUUGGCGCGAAACGAAGGCAGGAAGACAGAGCAGAGUCAGGCUGGGACUCGCCAGCUCCUAGGAGCUGCCCUUGUCCUUGUCGUCCAUCAGGUCAUACCUGUGAAAACAAGAGGGCUCAUGUAGAAAGAUGACUCUUGUGUCAUCUUUAUAAAUGAGACAUGAUCCAAGGGCUUCUCUACUUGAUAGAAUCAAUGGUUCUCUCCUCAGAUUGUAUCUUUUUUUCCUUUCUUGUGAUUGGAAUUUCUCCCACUGAAAUAUCCAGACUAUCCCCCACCCACGCAGACACUCACCACCGGGCUAUACCCUGGGAAAGGUCUGUCUCAGCUAGGUCCAGCUGCACCUGUGUUGGAGGAUGAUGGGGGAAAGAUGUUAUUUUUUUAUUUUUUGAGACAGGAUCUCAUUCUGAUGAUGCUGUUUUGAAAUCUCCAAA